GAUGAACGCUGGCGGCGUGCCUAAUACAUGCAAGUCGAGCGAACAGACGAGGAGCUUGCUCCUCUGACGUUAGCGGCGGACGGGUGAGUAACACGUGGAUAACCUACCUAUAAGACUGGGAUAACUUCGGGAAACCGGAGCUAAUACCGGAUAAUAUAUUGAACCGCAUGGUUCAAUAGUGAAAGACGGUUUUGCUGUCACUUAUAGAUGGAUCCGCGCCGCAUUAGCUAGUUGGUAAGGUAACGGCUUACCAAGGCAACGAUGCGUAGCCGACCUGAGAGGGUGAUCGGCCACAAUGGAACUGAGACACGGUCCAGACUCCUACGGGAGGCAGCAGUAGGGAAUCUUCCGCAAUGGGCGAAAGCCUGACGGAGCAACGGCGCGUGAGUGAUGAAGGUCUUCGGAUCGUAAAACUCUGUUAUUAGGGAAGAACAAAUGUGUAAGUAACUAUGCACGUCUUGACGGUAACUAAUCAGAAAGCCACGGCUAACUACGUG
rnacentral:rRNA from 1 species